UACGAAGGGUGCAAGCGUUGUUCGGAUUUAUUGGGCGUAAAGCGCGCGUAGGCGGACCCGCAAGUCAGAUGUGAAAUCUCGAGGCUCAACCUCGAAACUGCGUCUGAAACUACGGGUCUAGAAUCUUGGAGGGGGAAGGGGAAUAUCGCAUGUAGGGGUAAAAUCCGUAGAUAUGCGAUGGAACACCAGAGGCGAAGGCGCCUUCCUGGACAAGUAUUGACGCUGAGGCGCGAAAGCGUGGGGAUCAAACAGG
rnacentral:rRNA from 1 species